AUCUCGUGAUAGAAAUCUGUGUCUUACCUCAGAGUAGUCAAUUAUCAAAGCUCCCCAAGAUCAUCAAUCAUGUGAGGAGAUUGAAGUUUAGAGGAGGAGCAACGCUCCGGCCAUCGAUUGCAGCGAAGCCCUUUUUGGAGCCUGAACACUUUUACGCACAAAACAGAAGCAGGCCAUCUAUUCCCUUUAAUAUUAAGCUCCAUCAAUGCUAAUAUGGCAUCAUGGCUCUAUUGAUGGGUUCUCACACAAAGGCUCCAUUUAUGGCUCCGUGACAUUUUUGAUGGUGGAAAUUAAUUAUUCACAGGUUAGGAUUAAGGUGGACAAGCACGGGGAGAGGGGCUGUGGCUACCGUCGGAGGGUCAAUAAACUCUCCCAACAAACAAAAAACGCACGCAGACUUGUUCGGCGCCGAUUACAGAAAUAGCAGUUAAACAAACAAAAGAAGAAGAGGAAAAAAAAAAAGAUUUAAUAAAUGAAACGGCGACAACAGUUAUGUUUGUUGGCAUAAAGGGGGGGGUGGGAAGUGGAGGACUGCAGGGUUUGACAAACGGCUGUGUGGACAUUUCAACGUGCAAUACCCCGGGAAGGAGCUGCAGAGCGGUGCGCAGAGAGCCAAGGCAUUCACCGUCUCCAAGUCUCUCCUCCUCUCUGUAAACACCACCAGCACCACCGGCAGGCUCCGCUAUUGAAGACUGAUAUUUUCAUAAGCUAAAUACUAUCUUUCACAUUGACCUGUUCAAUAACGCUCCGCUGUUUUUUUUUCCAUCCUCCUCCUUUUGGACAACUGUGGCUCGGCAGGAAAUAUGCGGCCCUCUAGCGACACCUCGCGGCCGUAGGCGAAACCGAGCUGUCGACACGUUAGCAACAAAUGAAAGAAGGCCACAAAAUAACACAAAAACACAUCCGCACGAAAAAUAUGAAUAUGUUCAAAAAAAAGCUUUUUUCAAAAGUGGUCAUAAUAUUUUGUUGAAUUUUACCUAGAUUUUUAAAAUGACAGAAGUGUGAAUCUAUUGCAAGAUAGUUAGCCACUAAACCUGUUUAAUUUGAAUAAUUGUAUUUAUAUACAUAUACUUUAUAUACCUUUUUUAUUUAUUUGCUGUUAAUUAUUAUCACUUAUUUUGGUGUUAUUGUUUACACCCUUCAUAGUCAGAGCAGCCACAUGCUACGACUGUCAGUGCACCUAAAUUAGAAAAGUGUGGACUUUAUUUGUCUUAAUUAAUGUAAACGUUGCAUUCUGAAAAUUUAGGAUUUACAAACUGUAGUUAUUUUUUAAUACAUCGCCAUUAUAAAAUAGAAUCCAACAACAAGUAUAUAAAAUGUUAUAAUGGGCACUUUAACGUGUGGUUAUUGUUAUAUAUAAUUUAGACCAAUUCUAAAAUAUGUUUUUAAUCGUAGGCGUUGCUGUUUGUUUAAAAAAAUAACAUUACACGAAUGGCUGAAACCUGGUUUUAAAAAAAUCAAAGCUUUUUUGUAACUUGGAAAACAACGCGUCGAAACGAUUUUGUCACAUUUUGGGUGCAAAAUGCCGGAAACGAAUUUCAAAGCUGCAACGGUGCAUUUUUCCUCGCGCGUACAGUAAAAGUAAAUGUUUUCUCCCCCUAAGAGCGCGGUGUUCGCGUCAAGCGCGUCCCCGCGCAGCCUCGCGCGGCUGUGACACAGUUCGAGCAGGUCACCGCUGAGAUUAGAGCCCGUCGUUAACGCCUGCUCGGAUCCACCAAAUGCUGAUUUAAUGAGCUUGCUGUGGGUGUUUGUCCCAGAAUACCUGGUGUGCAUGUGUUAGUAACGCCACACACACACACACAUACACACACACACACCGUAAUCCCCGUGUUUGUCGUUAACACGUGGCUUUGGGGACAUUCACACAGGCGCUGUGCACGUUUGACUACGACUUUUCCCCCCUCCGGUUACAUUGAACUGGUCGAAGCUUAUAAGGCCCGUAUCCAGCCACAUUACCACAUGUAAUUGAGAGAAGUUUAAGUGGAGGCCGGGAAACUGAGGAGUUAAUAGCAGUGACCCUCUCGCUGUGCCUCUGUCGCUCAUCAUUUAUCAGGCUUAAGGGGCUUAAACAGGCAGCACGGACUCACCUUUUAUUACAUAUCAAACCUCCUCUCCCCUUAUCUACAUGAUAGGAAAUACAUGCACCGUUGCCUGUUAUGCGGAUUUGGAAAUAGAAACAUGUCCAAUAAAGUCGCCCUCCUCCACUGAUCAGACGAAAUAUGGCUUUGGGCGCUUCGCAGACGAGCCCGGCGCUCUAAGCCUUUAUGAAAUUGUCUUAAUUCUCCUCUCCACUUUGAAAUGAAUAUCAAUUCCGCUCCUGCGUCGUUUGUCCAGUCCGGAAGCGGCGGAAUGUAGGCUAAGUGAGGGGGGAGUUGAUUGAGCGCAAGCAGAAAACGGACAAAAAUGCACAAAUGGAUGUUGUUUUGUUUAUGUUAUUUAUAAAACCAUGUAUUAUGCGACUUCCGUUUUUUUUUUCUCUCAUAAAGAGUUUUAAUAAAAUGUGUGUUUUUGGGGUGGUAAUAAAAUCUUAAUAUGUUUAAUUCAUGAUUAUUUUUAAUUCAUGAAUAUAAAGUAAAGCAUAUUUUAUUUUUUAUAUUUUAUUUAAUAAUGUCUUCAGCUGUGAGUUGUUGUUUUUUUUUAAAUCCUAGCACAGUCUUGAGUUAAACUUCAGGGCCAUGCCUGUGCUGUGUGCUGCUUCCCUCCAAGGAGAGCUCAGUCAGUCAGGCUGAACGCAGCUGCAUUCACGUGGAGUGACGCAUUUUGAUAUUCCAGUCACACAACAGAGUAAACACCGCUCUCCUAUUCAAUAAACAUCAUUGACAAGGUUCCAUAUCCGAGCAUUUGAAAUGCCGAGCUUAUCCCAUCCAGCAUCAGCAUUUCUUCUACUCACCGUUUGUAAACAGAAGGUAAUUAAAGAAUAAUUUCUUUUUUGGUUUGGCUUUGAAUAAAGUCCUGGAUAUUUUUACAUUGUUGUAACAAACUGCAAUUUUUCUGUAAAUCCACUGUGAUUUUAAUGUUCUUCCUCCACUUAAUGCAAUAAAAUAAAAACCUUUUCAAUCAA